UACAGAGGCGGCAAGCGUUGUUCGGAAUUAUUGGGCGUAAAGAGCACGUAGGCGGCCCUGAAAGUCAGUUGUGAAAGCCUUCUGCUUAACGGAAGAACGGCAUCUGAUACUCCAGGGCUAGAGUGCGGGAGGGGAGAGUGGAACUUCUGGUGGAGCGGUGAAAUGCGUAGAUAUCAGAAGGAACGCCGGCGGCGAAAGCGACUCUCUGGUCCGUAACUGACGCUGAGUGUGCGAAAGCUAGGGGAGCAAACGGG
rnacentral:rRNA from 1 species